rnacentral:lncRNA from 1 species
GACAAUUGGAUAUCAAUAUCCAAAUCUAACAAAUUUCAAAAUACAAUCAAACAUCACACUUAGAAUUUGAUACAUGACAUCAAGGUUAUUCGAUGAUACAAUUCCGAUAAACUAAUUGUUUUUUUAUACAACUGACCAUCCUACAUAAACAUGACCUCUAUACAGCGGAGCGACUCGAAGUAGAAGUCUAAAAGAUGCCAUUAGCUACAUCACGAGUCAAAAUUUGUUGAGGCAAUACACAAGAGCUAAUUACUUAUCUGCAAAAAGGAGAAGAUAAGGGGGGUGAGUCUCACAGACUCAGUGAUCAUCAGCUCUGUGAGUAGGGAGUAGUUGUGAAACAAGCUAGAGAUAGAAAAUUUCAAUAUUAAGAACAUAUGAAUAGAUAAACAAUUUAAACUCAAAUGGAACAUUUGUGCCUUACAUAUAUACCAAAGAAUUGUGAUGCAAAAUAACCAUUUUAAGUAAUACAUUAAAAUCAGUGCAGUUAAAAGAUUUCUACCGUCGAAAUCAUUUAAUGUCCUUUACACAAAAUCAAACUAACAUAGACACGCACGCUCCUGUAAAAUCAAGCCAUGUCAAUGCUUAUACACAUGCAUAUAAACGAACUCAUACUUGAGGUAUAAAACACAAGACCAUCAUCUAACUAAGGGAGUUGUGGACAAACCGGUAUUUCUAACCAUGCGAAAGAAUACGUAUUUGAAAACCCAAAGAGAUAUCAUUCUCGAGUAGGUAAUCAUAAAUAAUCAACCCGUGGACCCUCUUCCAUGUAGUAACAUCCAGAAGGCCCCCUUCCAGUUGAUUCCUGUCAUGACCCGAAACUCCCAUCGAGCCCGUGACAACCGCCGUGAUGUCCCAACAGAUAUUCAUUACCCGAAAUGUCAAUUGAAAGCUCGCAAGGCUUAACAUCAAAACUAUUUUGGUCACUAAAAUUAUGUUUUGAGAGAUUAUAAACUAUUUCCAAAUCAAAACAAUAGAAAAAUAAUUUUUUUCUCACAGGGGCAUUUUGGUCAUUUUUCUUCAUUAAUCUCGAAAUCCUUAAAAAAAUGUAGUAUACGGGUGUAAAACACAUAUUUCAUAAUCAAAAAUAAAUUUGGAUGUCUAAAACAUUUGUUUAAAAUGAAAUUAUGACUAUUAGAAUAAAAUAAAAAUAUUGAAUAAAAUAUUAAAUUUUCUCAUAAAAUAAUAUUUUUAGAACACUGCAUAAAUAAUUUUUACAGCAUAAAAGCAAAAUAAAUUCAUAUAUAUUGUAAUACAGUAAGUCAGAAUAUUUAAUUUAAUUUACAAUAACAAGUGGGCCCUCGAAUAACCAAAAGUAAGAAAGAUUGUGAACCUACAAUUUGGAAGAUGCAAAUCCAAUGGUGGUCCUCGAUGAAAUCAGCUAUCUAUAGACUAUCCUGAGCCUGAAAUGGGUGAAAAGGAGGGUGGUGAGAUUAUAUAAUCCUAGUGAGUAAACAAAUACCAUCUAAAAUAUCUAAAGCUGAGUAAAUGGAGAUAGAUAAAAUAGUUUAACAUACUGUAAUUCAUCACUUUUCAACUUGUUUCAACCAAAUAAAAUCAAUUCAUAUAAAUCAAGUAAUCAACAUGGCUUAUGAAUUUCUUAAAAGCUUUGGUUCGUGUUAAAAUCAUUCUCAUACCCAGCUAUCAGGGAUCCCUUGAUCGAGGGCUAUCCCAACCGAGUCCGCCAAGGCUGUUAAAAUUUCGUAUACACAUAAACAUAUUUUUAUUUUGAAAAUAUAGCCGUUCCUUGGCGUUGGCUGAGUUCACCCUCACGUGGUGGUUUGGCGUGAAGUGAACUCUAAAGUUAUACCUUGGGAGUUACCCUACUUACCUCUCCAACCGAGGUAAAAUAUAACGGGAUUCCGUACCCCUCUAAUAAGCUAGUCCACAGAAAACCCUGCCACUGCUGCAAGCUAAACCCACCAUAUAAUAAAAUUUUGACAACACGACAUGACUAAUAUUAUACUACCCAGCCUGUAAAUGUAAAAUAGAGCAAUUCAUACAGUUCACAAACCAUAAUUCCAGCCAGUCAUGCCAACACAUUAUCAUAAGCCAUCAAUUAGAAUCAUAAGUUACAACACAUCAAGUGGUCUCCAAUUACUCUAUUUUCAAAGCCAUCAUUCAAUUUCAAGACAAUUUAUAAAAUCAUUUCAUUUAAACACAUUUUGUUUAUAAAACAUAAAGAUUUACCAUUUAAACUCACUUUCCAUAAAAUCACAAAAUCGAAUAAAAACCACUUUAGAUAAUUAAGACGAUAGUAAGGUUACUCACUAUUUCGGGAGUCAAAUUCCAAGUACUCCGAUUAUUGAUCCUCGGGUACUAUCUCUUUACUUUUGUCAGAAUGCUCACCACCUAGACAUAAUGCACAAUAAGCCAUUUACUACAUUGUGCUAAAUUGUUAUAAAACCAAUUCAGGCUUUAUACUAAUGUAUGAAAUGGGAUGCAAAUUGUUUAGAUUAUUAUCUAAACACGGUGUUCUACACAAAUUCAAUUCUGUACCUAAAUUAAACGGUAUUGGCCUAAUUCGAUCUAUCACUUGAUUAAUUACCCAAUAUGUCCAAUUUAACUCCAAAUAAAUUCCAUUUUUCUCCCAAUACUCCAAAUCAUCAAACACAAGUCAAAUAGCAUAAAAUCUAGCAAAAUCAUUUUCACAUUUUCUCUUGGAAAAUUCGACCAUGGUGGGUGCAUCAACACUAUAAUUUUUCCUACUUGAUUCUCACACCAUAAAUCACUAAUUCCUAACCAAAUCACUUGAAAGAAAAUAAAAAUCAUCCUCAAUAUUCCACUUAGAGAAUUCGGCCAAUGAUGGGUGAUGGGAGAACAUGAAUUUUUCCUGCUUGAUUUUCAUGCUACACAUCACCAAUCAACUAAAAACGCUAAAAUACAUUGAAAUCUAAUUAAAUCAAGCAUCAAAACCUCUCUCCUAGGGUUUGAUCAGCGCACUAUCCUUCAUGAUAUCUUGUGAUUCAAUUAUGGAAAAUGCAAAAUAAUGCAUGGGAAAGGUAGAUCACAAGUCAAAAUCAAGAAAUUUUACCUUUGAUUGCUUGAUUACUUGAAAUCCACCAAUUUCCUCUUGAAUUUUCACCCUAGGGUUCUUGUUCUUCCUUUUUCUUCCUUUGUUCUUGUUUUGGCCGGC